GACCCGCACUGAUGGCCUGUAGUUUGGUAAGAUAUGCAGCCUCACCUCCUGCAGAAGUGAGAGAGAGAGACUACUGGACUCCCGAUCUAGUGUAAGUGGCCCUUCUUCUUGCUAGCGUUAUAAUAACGCGUUACUAGCAUAGCUAACAUACUAACUACUAAAACUAACAUUUUAACAUACUAAGUACUAAAACGACAUCAUCAUUUAUCAUUCGAUUUUUCAUUUUUUUCUUUGUUUUUUUUUUCAGGUCCCCCACAAUGGAUCACCACGUUGCCGUCGUGUGGGGGCUUGCGUACUCCUGUGAUUCUAAGGUUGAGGUCAGCAAUGGUCUAACCAUGCUGAACCGGCCAAGGAAGAGGAGUCCGACUAAGAGUGAUCCAAACCCUGCACCUACUUUUUGUAAUGUUUUUUGUUUAAAUUUUUUUUCCCUUCGACAUGAGCGACACACGGCACUACCACUUGGGGAGAGAGCAGAGGCAAGACAGAUGGGCGGAUAGACAAGCAGACGAGAUUCCAGCAUCCAUCCACUAUCGUCUGUCUUCAAGAGAGGACAGAGUGAUCGAGUCAUCCCAGAUUUAUUGAGUCAUCCCAGUCAUCCAGGUCUCUCUCCACGACAGAACCACUUGACGACUGAUUGCGUGAGCAGAGCUGGUUGGGUAUGAGGUGAAACGUAUGCACGCAUGUUCUUGCCACACACGCACAUAUGUUCAUCUCUAUAUUCGCGAUUCGCGAUUCGUAUUAUCUCGUUAUUCGUUAUUCGUAUAUUGCGGCUCGUUAUUCGCGUAUUGCGGCUCGUUAUUCGCGUAUUGCGGCUCGUUAUUCGUAUAUUGCGGCUCGUUAUUCGCGUUGC